rnacentral:rRNA from 1 species
AGAGUUUGAUCCUGGCUCAGGAUGAACGCUAGCUACAGGCUUAACACAUGCAAGUCGAGGGGCAGCAUGACCUAGCAAUAGGUUGAUGGCGACCGGCGCACGGGUGAGUAACACGUAUCCAACCUACCGGUUAUUCCGGGAUAGCCUUUCGAAAGAAAGAUUAAUACCGGAUAGUAUAACGAGAAGGCAUCUUUUUGUUAUUAAAGAAUUUCGAUAACCGAUGGGGAUGCGUUCCAUUAGUUUGUUGGCGGGGUAACGGCCCACCAAGACAUCGAUGGAUAGGGGUUCUGAGAGGAAGGUCCCCCACAUUGGAACUGAGACACGGUCCAAACUCCUACGGGAGGCAGCAGUGAGGAAUAUUGGUCAAUGGGCGAGAGCCUGAACCAGCCAAGUAGCGUGAAGGAUGACUGCCCUAUGGGUUGUAAACUUCUUUUAUAUGGGAAUAAAGUGAGCCACGUGUGGCUUUUUGUAUGUACCAUACGAAUAAGGAUCGGCUAACUCCGUGCCAGCAGCCGCGGUAAUACGGAGGAUCCGAGCGUUAUCCGGAUUUAUUGGGUUUAAAGGGAGCGUAGAUGGAUGUUUAAGUCAGUUGUGAAAGUUUGCGGCUCAACCGUAAAAUUGCAGUUGAUACUGGAUAUCUUGAGUGCAGUUGAGGCAGGCGGAAUUCGUGGUGUAGCGGUGAAAUGCUUAGAUAUCACGAAGAACUCCGAUUGCGAAGGCAGCUUACUGGACUGUAACUGACGCUGAUGCUCGAAAGUGUGGGUAUCAAACAGGAUUAGAUACCCUGGUAGUCCACACAGUAAACGAUGAAUACUCGCUGUUUGCGAUAUACAGUAAGCGGCCAAGCGAAAGCAUUAAGUAUUCCACCUGGGGAGUACGCCGGCAACGGUGAAACUCAAAGGAAUUGACGGGGGCCCGCACAAGCGGAGGAACAUGUGGUUUAAUUCGAUGAUACGCGAGGAACCUUACCCGGGCUUAAAUUGCAGAUGAAUUACGGUGAAAGCCGUAAGCCGCAAGGCAUCUGUGAAGGUGCUGCAUGGUUGUCGUCAGCUCGUGCCGUGAGGUGUCGGCUUAAGUGCCAUAACGAGCGCAACCCUUAUCUUUAGUUACUAACAGGUCAUGCUGAGGACUCUAGAGAGACUGCCGUCGUAAGAUGUGAGGAAGGUGGGGAUGACGUCAAAUCAGCACGGCCCUUACGUCCGGGGCUACACA